rnacentral:rRNA from 1 species
AUGGAUCGAGCAAGAGGCCAUCGAUCGGGAGCAGGAUCAUUGGGCCACGGUGCCCCGGGACUGCAAGGUGAUGCUCCUCUGACUGGGCAUGGCGAGCAUGGCGGUGUGGUCCAGGAAGUCCUUGAGCUCCACCACGGCCUGCAGUAUCCUCCUGAGGUCGUCGGCGCGCACGAAGCCGGCGGCGCCCAGCCGGCGCACGGCGUAGACGUAGAUGGUGAGGCACCCCUUCCUGAACUUGAAGCGCGCCAUCUCGCUGCCGGAGAGGCCGCGGAUGAGCUUCUUGUUCACGUCCCCGAGCGGGAUCAUGGCCGGCCACAGCUGGUCCACGGCCGCCUUCAUGGCCUCCGACUCGAACACGAAGAGCACCACCUUGGACUUCUUGGUGCCGAGGCCGAGCGUGAGCGUGUGCCACGCCUGGUGCGCCAGGAUGGUGAAGCUGGUGGGCAUGUAGGCGGUGGUGGACGGGAACGGCAGGCUCUGCAGCUCGCUCAGGAACGACGGCGGGAUGUCCAGCAGCCGGAGCAGCUCCAGCGGCGACGCGCGACGCACCGUGAACGACUUGACGAUGAACUGCCCGCCGAAGCGGAUGCCCUUCACGUCGCCGCACGGCUUGAAGCUCGCCUCCGCCGCCGCCGCCGCGCCGCCGGCCUUGUCCUUCUUCUCCUUGUCCUUCUCCUUGUGCUUGCUGUGCUUGUGCUUCUUCUUCUCCUCUGCCAUGGCGAUGGCUGGCGUGCCGCUCCUUUGCUUUGCUUUCCCUGCAGUCGCUGCCGCUGCUGGAGUGAGCUGUGCUGCUGGGGAAAAGGCCGUAAUGAGGAGCCCCACCGCCACCUCCCUUCCCUUCGCUGUGCCUCCUCCUGCAGCGGCUGCUGGUACGACCAUACCGCAAAGUUUCUAGUCAGAGUGAAGGACCAUCCACUUCACCACUUGGACAUUAUUCAGGACAAGCUUGAUUAG